rnacentral:rRNA from 1 species
CCUACGGGUGGCAGCAGUGGGGAAUAUUGGACAAUGGGCGAAAGCCUGAUCCAGCCAUGUCGCGUGUGUGAAGAAGGCCUUCGGGUUGUAAAGCACUUUCAGUGGGGAAGAAAGCCUUGGGGCUAAUACCCUCGAGGAAGGACAUCACCCACAGAAGAAGCACCGGCUAACUCCGUGCCAGCAGCCGCGGUAAUACGGAGGGUGCGAGCGUUAAUCGGAAUUACUGGGCGUAAAGCGCGCGUAGGCGGUCUGAUAAGCCGGUUGUGAAAGCCCCGGGCUCAACCUGGGAACGGCAUCCGGAACUGUCAGGCUAGAGUGCAGGAGAGGAAGGUAGAAUUCCCGGUGUAGCGGUGAAAUGCGUAGAGAUCGGGAGGAAUACCAGUGGCGAAGGCGGCCUUCUGGACUGACACUGACGCUGAGGUGCGAAAGCGUGGGUAGCAAACAGGAUUAGAUACCCGUGUAGUC